GAUGAACGCUGGCGGCGUGCCUAAUACAUGCAAGUCGAGCGAACGGACGAGAAGCUUGCUCCUCUGAUGUUAGCGGCGGACGGGUGAGUAACACGUGGAUAACCUACCUAUAAGACUGGGAUAACUUCGGGAAACCGGAGCUAAUACCGGAUAAUAUUUUGAACCGCAUGGUUCAAUAGUGAAAGACGGUCUUGCUGUCACUUAUAGAUGGAUCCGCGCCGCAUUAGCUAGUUGGUAAGGUAACGGCUUACCAAGGCAACGAUGCAUAGCCGACCUGAGAGGGUGAUCGGCCACACUGGAACUGAGACACGGUCCAGACUCCUACGGGAGGCAGCAGUAGGGAAUCUUCCGCAAUGGGCGAAAGCUUGACGGAGCAACGCCGCGUGAGUGAUGAAGGUCUUCGGAUCGUAAAACUCUGUUAUUAGGGAAGAACAUAUGUGUAAGUAACUGUGCACGUCUUGACGGUACCUAAUCAGAAAGCCACGGCUAACUACGUG
rnacentral:rRNA from 1 species